rnacentral:rRNA from 1 species
UUUGCUCCCCACGCUUUCGCGCCUCAGCGUCAGUUACAGACCAGAAAGCCGCCUUCGCCACUGGUGUUCCUCCACAUCUCUACGCAUUUCACCGCUACACGUGGAAUUCCGCUUUCCUCUUCUGCACUCAAGUCCCCCAGUUUCCAAUGACCCUCCACGGUUGAGCCGUGGGCUUUCACAUCAGACUUAAAGGACCGCCUGCGCGCGCUUUACGCCCAAUAAUUCCGGACAACGCUUGCCACCUACGUAUUACCGCGGCUGCUGGCACGUAGUUAGCCGUGGCUUUCUGGUUAGGUACCGUCAAGGUACCGGCAGUUACUCCGGUACUUGUUCUUCCCUAACAACAGAGCUUUACGACCCGAAGGCCUUCAUCGCUCACGCGGCGUUGCUCCAUCAGACUUUCGUCCAUUGUGGAAGAUUCCCUACUGCUGCCUCCCGUAGGAGUCUGGGCCGUGUCUCAGUCCCAGUGUGGCCGAUCACCCUCUCAGGUCGGCUACGCAUCGUCGCCUUGGUGAGCCGUUACCUCACCAACUAGCUAAUGCGCCGCGGGCCCAUCUGUAAGUGUCAGCCGAAACCGACUUUCAGCUUUUCCUCAUGAGAGGAAAAGGAUUAUCCGGUAUUAGCACCGGUUUCCCGGUGUUAUCCCAGUCUUACAGGCAGGUUGCCCACGUGUUACUCACCCGUCCGCCGCUAAUCAACAGGAGCAAGCUCCUAUUAAUUCGCUCGACUUGCAUGUAUUAGGCACGCCGCCAGCGUUCGUCCUGAGCCAGGAUCAAACUC